UACGGGGGGGGCAAGCGUUGUUCGGAAUUACUGGGCGUAAAGGGCUCGUAGGCGGCCAACUAAGUCGGACGUGAAAUCCCCAGGCUCAACCUGGGAACUGCGUCCGAUACUGGAUGGCUUGAAUUCGGGAGAGGGAUGCGGAAUUCCAGGUGUAGCGGUGAAAUGCGUAGAUAUCUGGAGGAACACCGGUGGCGAAGGCGGCAUCCUGGACCGGUAUUGACGCUGAGGCGCGAAAGCCAGGGGAGCAAACGGG
rnacentral:rRNA from 1 species